AUUGAACGCUGGCGGCAGGCCUAACACAUGCAAGUCGAACGAGUGGCGGACGGGUGAGUAAUGUCUGGGAAACAGCCUGAUGGAGGGGGAUAACUACUGGAAACGGUAGAUAAUACCGCAUACCAUCAGAUGUGCCCAGCUGGGCUUAGCUAGUUGGUGGGGUAACGGCUCACCAAGGCGACGAUCCCUAGCUGGUCUGAGAGGAUGACCGGCAACACUGGAACUUCGACACGGUCCAGACUCCUACGGGAGGCAGCAGGGGGGAAUAUUGCACAAUGGGCGCAAGCCUGAUGGAGCCAUGCCGCGUGUAUGAAGAAGUCCUGCGGGUUGUAAAGUACUUUCAGCGGGGAGGCGUUACCCGCAGAAGAAGCACCGGCUAACUCCGUGCCAGCAGCCGCGGUAAUUC
rnacentral:rRNA from 1 species